CUGCUGCCUUCCGUAGGAGUUUGGGCCGUGUCUCAGUCCCAAUGUGGCCGGUCACCCUCUCAGGUCGGCUACUGAUCGUCGGCUUGGUGGGCCGUUACCUCACCAACUACCUAAUCAGACGCGGGUCCCUCCUAUACCACUAUCGUUUCUCACUCAGCGCCAUGCGGCUCCGUGCGCUUAUGCGGUAUUAGCAGUCAUUUCUAACUGUUAUCCCCCUGUAUAGGGCAGGUUCCCCACGCGUUACUCACCCGUCCGCCG
rnacentral:rRNA from 1 species